GCUUCUUUUACUUGCAUUGUCAUAUAACAUAUAUUCUUGCUUGAAAAUGCAUUGGGUAGUUAAAUCUAGAAGGUAAGUAAAAAUAUAAUAACAAUCCUACUAAGUCAAAUAGAAUCUUGAAUAAACUUUAAAUAAACCUUAAUAAUCAUAAUUAAACUUUAAGUAAUUCAAAAUAAAUUUAAUUGAAGUUACAAAGAAACACAAAGAAAUCCUAAAUUAACCUCAAUAAAAAAUAAUAAGAAAUCUUAAAGAAAUAUAAAUAUAAAUCUUUAAAUAAAUAAUAAUAAUUUUAAAAAAAUAUUAUAAAUAAAAAAUUUAAAAAUAAUAAAAAUCUUUAAAAUACUCAAAAUAAUUUUAAAUCCUAAUCAAAUAAUUUUAAAUAAAAUCUUAAUAAACCUUAAUCAAAUCCUUAGUCAAAUCUUAAUUAAAAUCAUAAUUGAAUAUUAAUUAAAUAUUAGAUCAAAUCUUAAUAAAAUUCUAAUAAAAAUUCUAAAUCCUAAACUAAUUUUAAUGAAUCCUAAUCAAAUCCUAAUUAAAUUCUAAUCAAAUCCAAAUAAAAUCCUAAAUCCUAAUUAAAUCCUAAAUCCUAAAUCAAUUCUAAUGAAUCUUUAAUCAAAUCCUAAAUCCUAAAUCAA
rnacentral:lncRNA from 1 species